rnacentral:lncRNA from 1 species
GACUACUGAACAAACUACAAACAACAACCAAACAACAACAACGACCCACCAUGCCUCUCUGGGCGCCUAUCAUUUAUCUACCCUCGGAAAAGUCCCCAGAAUUCCGAACGGCACACAACCACAGAAAAUGCCUGCAGCUGGCAAAGUCACUCCCCAGCUCAAGCACGAGGCAACUCAUUGUCAGCUGCUGUGGGUCGUUUGAAACAGCUUUGUCCCAUACCUGGUUUGUGUGUGUGUGUGUGUGUGUGUAUGUAUGUAUGUGUGUGUUUUAAGGAAACCAAAAUUCCAGACUUCUUACAACAAGCAGGUCCCAGCAAAGGCAGAAAUGAGUACUGGAGCCUUCCAAGUCAGUUCCUGAGAGCCAAGGCCUAAAGACCAGUUGAAUAGACAGUGCCGGACCUCUGCCCCCACUGUGCCCUCCCCACCUCCUAUCCUGCAGACAGCAGCCUGUGCACCUCCUUCUGCAACAAGCAGAGGCAGGGCCCUGGGUCCUUAGCCAAGGCCAACUGCCAGGCCCGGGCCUCCUGGGCAGAAGCAGGAGAACUGUGAUUCUGCCUGGAGGCGGGAGAGAGAGUGGCAUGGCCCCUUGGAGAUCUUUUGAAAUAUUGUUUGCUGCCUGACUCUGUGUGUGUGUGUGUGUGUGUGUGUGUGUGUGUGUGUGUGUGUGUGUUCUCGCGCACAAGCAUGUCAGGACCAGCCCAGGCUCCCAGUGUGUAACCUGGACCCUCUGCCAGCUGAGUCCAGAUGUGCCAGGCAACCCAGAUGCUAGGGAGCUUCUGGCCUCUAUUUUCUUUUUUCUCCGUUGUUUUUUGAAAACAAGAUCUCACUGUAGGGCUUUGCUUGGCCUGGUACUCACUCUGUAGACUAGACUGGCCUUGAACUCACAGAGCUCUGUGAGGAGUCCGGUUUUUUAUAUCCCAUUUUAUCUUCACUCACAAACUAGGCCACAGAUCGUUUGCUGUCUGUCCUGGGUAAAAGGUACUCUGCUUCUGCAGGUCUGCAGCUGAUCCGCCUGACUGAGGGGCUUUAAGGCUGUCAGCUGCAGCCUCCAUUAACACCUCAGAGUGACACAGGGGUUGGCUCUAUAAAGCUGGGAAUUGUGCUCCUCUAAGUUGAAGUCCCUGGGAGGAAAGGGGAGGGAGACUUAUCUCUGCCCUUUGUUCCCAGUAACUGUAUGACUGUCAGAGCAUGUGUUCACAUGGUAAAAGCUCACUGAGAGUUUACUCACUCAGAUCAUGAAUUAAAUAAGAGAUUGUAGAGAGAAUGCCUACAUGCGUAUAUAGUAGGGGCAAGAAGUUUAAGACUGUAACUAAGCCCUCCUUGAAGUCUUGUUUAGACACACUCCUCGUCACUAACUUUUUUUUUUGUGUGUGGUUUUUCCAGACAGGGUUUCUCUGUAUAGCUCUGGCUGUCCUGGAACUCACUCUGUAGACCAGGAACUCAGAGAUCUGCCUGCCUCUGCCUCCCAAGUGCCGGGAUUAAAGGCGUGAGCCACCACGACCGGCUCCUAGUCACUAUCUUAUCUCCUGGUUUUGCACCUGGGGUUCUGUGGUGUAUGUCUUCUUUAUGACCUUCGGUUAAUGGUUUCUGUAACCCCUUGGGAUAUACCCUAAGUUUUAGAAGUCUGCUGUUAUCUAAGAAGCAAUUAAGCCGUCCUGUUAAAAAGGGACUUGAAUAUACUAUUUGGUAAUGGUGGUAACCCUCCCCAAUUCUUCGUGACCCUAGCAUGCUGGCUGUUUCUGCAGAUUAAACACUCUUUGUCUUUGUAUACU